AAUUCUCAAAAACCAUACGGUUUUCGGACCGUGUGGGGCUUGGAUGUGUGCGGAAACUGUCCUUCGGGGCAGCCGCAUUAAUUUGAUUGUGUGUGUCACGGUAAAUCCAUGCUGGGAACACAAGAGCAACAGAUUUCUAUUUCUCUUGUGACUUGGACUGGUGAUAUCGGGUCAUCCACCCCAUCAAUGAUACAGGAUGCGCGUCUACUUUGAUGCGUGUUCUGAUU
rnacentral:misc_RNA from 1 species